rnacentral:rRNA from 1 species
AGCCUGAACGCUGGCGGCGUGGCUAAGACAUGCAAGUCGCACGGUGUAGCAAUACACAGUGGCGAACGGGUGAGUAAUGAAUCGCUAAUGUACCCCGGACUCUGGGAUAGCUGCCCGAAAGGGCAGGUAAUACCAGAUAAUAUAACUUGGUCGCAUGACCAAGUUCUCAAAGGUCCGCCGGUCUGGGAGCAGGCGAUUUCGUAUCAGCUAGUUGGUGAGGUAACGGCUCACCAAGGCGACGACGCGUAGCCGGACUGAGAGGUUGGCCGGCCACAUUGGGACUGAGACACUGCCCAGACUCCUACGGGGGGCUGCAGUAACGAAUCUUCCGCAAUGCACGAAAGUGUGACGGAGCGACGCCGCGUGGAGGACGAAGUUCUUCGGAAUGUAAACUCCUGUCAGAGGAAGAAAGUUCUGAUCUACCUCAGAGGAAGAGGCGGCUAACUCUGUGCCAGCAGCCGCGGU